GUUCUCCUUUGGGAUGGGACUGUAUAGGAAGACACAGUCCGUGGUGUGGGACUGAGCAAGCUGCUGAAUCGUUACCUUCUUCUGAACCUCUUCAACACACCACCAGGGCCAGAAAACAUAGAGAAGUGUAAAGAGAAUGCUCUCUGGGUGAACAGGUGGUUGCAUGCUUCCCAGAAAGGUGGUUCCAAAAUCAUGGAAGUGGGUCAACUCUCCCCGAGUCAGUGAACUUCUGCCAGCAUUUGGUUCAGUGAGCACGUAUGCUUCACAGGAGUAACCACAGUGAUGAAACUGAAGAAGUUGUUCUCCUGUUGGUGAAAGUCAAGGCUCUGCGUAUUGCUGAAGAGCUCACUGAAGAGUGCAAACGGGAACAUCUUAAAUCUGUGAUCAGGAAAUAAGGAUUUCUUUGAAGCAGCAGUUCUUUUACUCAAACAAGCCUGAUGCUCAUUCUAAAAAAGUGGUC
ensembl:lncRNA